rnacentral:pre_miRNA from 1 species
AACCCUCUAAAUAUGCGCCGAGAUUUCUUCAGACACCAGAUCAUUAUUACUGAUGAAACUCCCAAAAUAAGUGGGAUG